rnacentral:lncRNA from 1 species
GAGAAGAAAAAGAUUUAGUAGUGCAAUCAACAAAAAAUAUCUCCCUCACUCUAUUGCAUCUAUUUGAACAUGCUGGACAGGAUGACCUGGGAGGUUAUAGCAAUCUUUCCUACAGCCUCACACGAAUAUAAACAGUAGAUGCCUGUGAAGGACUCUUGCACAUACACAUAUUCCCAAAGGCACUUAUUAUACCUGGUUGCAGCUGAAUACAGAUAUUGACAGAGACGUCUGAGAGGAGAAACCAAGAUCGUUUAUGACUAUGUCCUCAUUAGGAUCUCAAAUUUCACGGGCACCACAAGGCUACCCCAGCUCAGAUUUAAUCAGCAGCAGACACCCAUCAGAAGGAAGGAAGGGCCAUCCCUGCCCCCUGAUGUCUAUUUGCUCCAAGAGCCAGGCCUGCAGAUAUGAAGAUGAGUCACCGUUCCAGCAGUGUCAGUGAUGUGACUGAUACUACAUGUGUCAGAAACCAUAUUCACAGUUUUACUAGUACACUUUGAAUCAGGAAUCCAGCUGGGAAAUAAUUCCCAAACCUAUGUCGCCGGACAUUGUUAAAUACGCUCCCAUGAUCAGAUUCUUCAUCAACAGGAGUCUCCAUUCUGAAAUAUCAUGAUAUCCCUUAAACAUGGAAUCCAAAAAGAAAUGAAACAAAUGAACGAGACCGAAACAGACUCAGAUGUAGAGAACCAGCUUAUGGUUGCCAGGGGGAAGGGCUGGGGGAAGAGACAGUUAGGGAAUUGGGGAUAGACAUGUGUGCACUGCUAUAUUUAAUAUGGAUAACCAACAAGGACCUAUUGUCCAGAGCACAGGGAACUCUGUUCAAUGUUAUAUGGCAGCCUGGAGGGGAGGGUUGUUUGGGAGAGAAUUGAUAGCUGUGUAUGUAUGACUGAGUCCCUUUGCUGUUCAUUUGAAACAAUCACAGCAUUGUUAAUCAUCUGUAUUCCAAUAUAAAAUAAUUUUUUUUUAAAAAGACUUGAAAAAAAAAUAGGAAUCUGUAUUCUCUAUGCCCCUAAGUCCAUAAACCACACUGUCUACAUGAAAUAGAGUGAGUUUUCAUCAGAGUUCCAUUUUUGGGUGGGCUUUUCAUCCUGAGCCUUAUCUGGCAGGACUUUAUCAGUUGAAGAGGGACAUUCAUUUUGUCAUGCUAUGUGCCAAUCUAAAACAUCACUGCACAUAAAACCAUAUACAAUGUAUUCCGUGCUUCCAGAGAGAGAUAAGGAAACUGCAGUUUGGAGAGACGGUCAUGUGCUAGCACUUGACGGAAAUGGAGGAGAAUCAAGAUUCGGGACAAAGAGUCCCCUUUAGCUUGGUGAUGCGUGGACUUGACUGAUAAGUCAAGAGCACAGGACAGAAGAGCUGAGAGGGGACACUGGGCACGUUUGCCAGAAGGAGGAGCAAGGCAAGUGUUGACUCAGAUGUGGACUGAAGACACUGAGUCCAGC